AAUUUGGCCGUGGGUAGGUAAUUGGCUGGAGCGGGGCGGCGGGGCGCGGCAGCCAAUCAGCGCGCGGCUUCUAUAGGGCUUGAGUUAUUAGACGCUGAUCUCAAACAUCGGUCAGCAGACAGCAAGGAGAGGCCAAGAGCUGAGGGGAGCCAUUUUUCUGCAAUGGAAUUAAAUGGCCAAGUGGGUUUUUCCUUUGUUGCAAGUGGGGAACGUGCUUCCUUUGACUCCACCAUCCAGUUCAGGACGCCUGAGUUGUGUUGUUUAACAUUUGUCAACAGGCUAAAGGACUCACAAUUGGAAGAAUGAAGAAGACUUUUUUUUUUUCUUUAAAGAUCUGGAUUUUUCCUUAUGACUUGGAAUCCAUCUUUGUCUUGUAUAACUAGGUCAUAGCACACCAUUAAUGUCAGCAGUUAACAGUUUUGAAUUCCAAAAAACCUUAAGUAAACGACAUAUUUAAUUUUUUCCUCUUUUUUAUUUUUUCUUGGGUAGGUGGGUGGGUGGGUGGGGGUCUUGGAGGCUGUCUUAUUCUGUAUUCUCUUGACUGAACAAUAAAUUUUUAUAUAUAUAUAGUUUCCUCUAUUAAACACUUAAACCUGGCCAUCUUAUUAACUCCUUCUCUCUUUUUAACAAGGUAAUGUUUUUAAGUGUAUAGUUUUAGGACUAGCGAAAUGGCAGCAACAAACAAUUGCGAGCAGUUGUUACUCUUUUUAAGUCUUUAAAAUCCUUUUACAUUGUAAGUACCCUUGCUCAGUGCAGUUUUCAUGUUCAUGUCGGUGAGAUGUCCUGAUUUUCCAGACCUUCAUCUGCAUGUAUGUCUUUGUUUCUCUUGUCUGAUAUAAGCCAGUUUAAAGAAAAAAUGCUUUUGGGCGAUUUUUGCUUUUAUAAAGCUAAGGUUUUUAGCUUUAAGCUUCUGGAAAUGUUUACAGCAAUACAUGCUAGCCAGCUUUCUUCCCAGGAAUGUACACUUUCUUUGAAAAUCGAUCUAGUUGAAGAAAAACAGCUCUGUUUUUCUCGUCUUGUUGGAGGGUGGGUGAGGGAGAGGAAGACCUUGUCUUUGUGUAGAGAGACUAAAGCCGUCACAGGAAACUAGAUUAAAACUGGAAAACAAGUCCUAGCUGGUUCCAGCCAAACACCAGCGUUAACUCGGGGGUAUUUGCUGCGGUGGUUGGGAGGGUGGUGCGUGGCUUUUGCCUUUUGUUUGAUUUGACUGUGUGUUUUCACCACUGCCAUAUCCAGAGCCCUAAACAGCCCUCAGCGAAGCCGCCUUUUUGCCAACCCAACCCUGGAAAGUUUGCAGAAGUGGAAGGACAGAAAAUGCCCCGAGAGUGUAACUUUCAAAAAGGUUUUUGGCCGGAGAAGGGGCCGCGGCAGGUACCCCCUGGGUGGACAGCCCUCCUUUGGACAGCACGAGCAGGCCUAGUUUGAAUCUCAAAGUCCUCCCUCCAAGGUAGGUGUGAACCCUUUUCCCAGGCCGUGAGGGCCACUUGGGGGGCUUUGGCCUGCAGCCCAGUGAGGGCGGGAAUCCCAAACCGGCUGGGCUGGUUCUGCAGCCCCUCCCCCCCACAGAUGUGUGACUGUGUGUGUGUGUGUGUGUGUGUGAGAGCAGCUGCCCGCUGGGCCUGCCGGGCCCCAUCCAUCCCUGCCCGGCAGCCUGGGUUGUCAGGCAUUUGGGGCGUGCAGUUCUUGGCCCAGUGUGGCCACACAGGAAAGGCUGCACUGGCAAGUAUUUCCCAGUUGUGUGUUUGCUGGUUGAGGGGGGCGGGCCUUGGACGCCUGCCUCUGACAGGCACGGGCUGCCAGUACUUGGCCACUGAAGGGGCCGCCCUCUGGUGACCGGCCGCUGGACAACGAAGAACUGAAGUGGGCCCUGGUCUGGGCUGUCUCUUUCCCGGAAACGUGGCCGCCCCUCCCCCGGAUUCCCACCGCGCCUCCGCUCCGCAGGUGGCCAGGGGUAUGUAGCCUUGUUUUGUGCAGACACACCUGCAUUUCGACCUGGCUCUCCAGGUACCCUCUCUGGCCUUGCAGAAGAUGUAUGGUCUCUGAGCCUCAGUUUCCCCAUCUGUAAAAAUGGGGCUGGACCACUGGCCGGCUGGAACUGGAGUGCCUGUCAGAAUCACAUGGGGGGGUGUGCUGAUCCUGGGGCGGAGCCUGGGAACCUGCCUGACGGGCUCUCCGGCCAGGCUUGUUUCCAGACCCUCUGGGCUUGGAAACACCUCUCACAGUGACCCUGAAGCUCGGCUCUCGGAGGGGUUUCGCACCCAGUGCCUUGUCCGUCGCCUCCCGCCACGGGCAGGCCCUGCGUGGCUGUCCUUUGUGGCCGAGAAUCCCUCGGUCCCUGCCCGGCCCCUGCCUCAUGUGAUCUUUUGUUUGUGAUUACUUGCAUGAACCAGUUGGGUCCAGCUGCCUCUGCUGUGAGGCCAGGACCCGCCGUGCCACCUGGGUGACUAAGGCAGGUGGGCGUGGGUUGGGACCCGGACAGGACGGGACUGGUGACCUCGGGUGAGCGUUGCCUGGUGAAAGGAGGACAGUGAUGUGUGCCGGAGAGAGUUGGGGGAGGAUGGCGUGCGACUCAGGGAGCCAUGCUCCCCCGAGAGCUGAUCCUCGCGGGGAGUGGUUGCAGGCACUGGGGGCUGGUGCGGCCCCCUCCCUGAGCACGUGGCGAAGCCCGCGGGCAAAGGGUGGCCAGUCCUUGCCACCCAUGCGCCCAGCUCCAUGGCUGUCCUGUGAUGGGGUCAUGGUUCAGGGUCACUCCCUCCUAGCCUGGGGAGAAGUGAUGUGCCCAAGGUCAAGAGGCCACUGCCCGCAGAGCCGGGAUGGGGCUGCAGGUGUCCUGACUUCCAGCCCAGCGCUGUGCCGUGGCACCCCCCACCCCAGCUGUCUGGGUUAUUUUGGGCUCUGCCUCCCGUGCCAGCUGUCUGCCGGCAGGGCUGGCCGGGAGCUGUCUGGUGGGAAGUAACCAGUGUGGCGACAGCCUUGGCCUCCCUGCCCUGAUGAGGGUGGGCCCCAGGCCCCCUGCCCCUGCACAGGUGAGGGGGGGGAGGGAGGAGGACGAGGUUGUUUUGUAGAAGUUGCCGUGGUUCCCGCCCUUACUGUUGCCUGGGCGCCUGCUUGCCUUCCACGCUGCCCUGGAACCUGAGUUUUGAAUUCAGCUCUGCCCAGAGCCUUCCUUGGGCCUGUGACGUCUGCUCCCGAGGGUGUCCUAUUCCCUUUGGGUUGGGUCCUGGGGGCUCCUUGGCCGGGGUCGCGCCUUCCUGCUUGCUGGCUGCCUAGAUCAUUUCCAUACCCUGGAAGGCUGCGAGCCAGCCUCACCAGUCCUGUCCUUGAACCAGCUGGGGAGCAGUUAGGUGCUGAGCUGUGGUCUGGGCGGGACUCUUGCAGCAGGAGGUGGGAGGCUCUUCCCUCCCUGCCUCCCGGGCUUUUUCACCUCUCUGCCUCUCCUUUCUUUGGCUCCACCUCCAGUGUCACCUGGGGCAGGGCACUCCGUCCUGGAGCUGCUGUUCCAGGCCCCCAGGUGCCCCGCCCACCGGUCACCCAGCGAGUGCGGGGCGGGGCUGCUCCUGGCCACCGGAGAGAGGGCCACGCCAGCGGAAAGGCUGGGAGGUGGCCGCCCUCGUCCCGCCUCUUCCGGCCUCUCCAGCGGGAGCCGCGGCACAGCCUACGGCCUCCUGGGUGCUCAGGUUGUGGAGAGGCAUCCCCACCAUUCUGGGUCAUCCGGGUCCAGUGCCGCCUCCAGCUGGCCCGUGACCCCCGGCAAGCCCUGCCCAAAUGCCCCGGGGAGGAGGCGUCACAGUAACCUUUGGAGCUGUCUUGAGUCUGGCUUUGUGAGGGCGCUGACUCCUGCCCGCCCCCCCCCCCCCCCCGUGUGCAGCUGAGGCCUAAGGACGGCCUUAAGGUCCCCUGGCCACCUCCCUCGGGGACCCCGCCGGGAAGGCUAAGGGUCUUCUGUGUGCUGUGAGUGGGGAGCCCUCAGGGUUUCUCAGACACCCGGUGAAGAGGGCCCGUGAGCAUGGCCAGGGCUGAGCGGUCACUGCACCUUUCCUGCUGGUGGCCUGGCUGUGGCACAGUGAGUCGUCCCUCCCCUCCCCCCCAGCAGCCACCGGCAGCUCCCCUGUGGCAGGAACCAGCAGGGAGAAUCUUCCUUGUCCUGAAACCCUCUAGGAAUUCCUGGGGAAUGGGAGGAGUGUGACAGGGCCCUCAGGAGGACACCCAGGGCCCCCCCCCCCCGCCCCGGGCGUGCCAGCUCCUCCACUGGCCUGGCCCGCCGCCUCCGAGGAGCUGGGAGCAGCUGGCUCGGCUCCUGGGUUUUUUUAGCUCGGAUCCAGCCCCACCAUCGCCACAAGAGCCAGGUCCAGAUCAAACACGCUCCAGGCUGCAGGGAGCUGGGCCCCUGCCAGCCUCCUGGCUGGGCAGCGGUGGGUGGGCAGGCUGGGGCCAGUGUCAGCUGCCCUGCCUGGCCCCAGGCGGGGCUGGGACAGACUCAUUUCUUCCCUCCCUGCACAUUGCGCAUGCUUGCUGUGUCCUAAGUAGACCUCCCGGCCCUGUGUCUCAGACGGAGAGAGUAGAGGCCUGAGGAUUCGGGGGUCCAAGGAGCUCUCCUGUGGGCUCACGUGACAGGAGGGUGCACCUGCGGGGGGGGGCAGCUUCCAUGCCUCCUCUCCUCCCCAGCCUGCCUGAGCUGCACGGUCCCUGCUGCACAGGGCAGUGGCCCCUGCCUUGCCCAGCUCUCUGCCUCCUGCCCCCUUCUCGCCCUGGACACCCGCUUUUCUGACCUCUCUCCACCUGGCCCCUGCCUCACUGGCCUGCUUUUCUCACGCCCCUCUGCUGUUCCGGAGCUGUGUGCCUGACACAGCCCUCGACCCUGGGGACCCCACCCUGUGGAGCCCCAGUGACCCUGCCAGGUCUGGCCUCGCUCCCCAGCUCCUGCAGAACGGGGGGGGGGGGGGGGCUUCCUAGCCGCCACGCACUUGCCCAGGCCAGGUCCCUGUCCUGCCUCCACUCAGCCUUCCCCAAGCCCGUGUGCGCUCUGCUGUCGGAGCUGCCCUCUCCCCCGCACCUGCGGGAACACAGUUGCCUCUCAAUAAACGUGUUUUAAAAAAGGA